GCCUGAGUGGCUCAGUCGGUUAAGCGCCCAACUUCAGCUCAGGUCCUAAUCUCAAGACUCAUGGGUUCAAGCCCCAUGUCAGGCU
rnacentral:tRNA from 1 species